UACGAAGGGGGGCUAGCGUUGUUCGGAAUUACUGGGCGUAAAGCGCACGUAGGCGGAUACUUAAGUCAGGGGUGAAAAUCCCGGGGCUCAACCCCGGAACUGCCUUUGAUACUGGGUAUCUCGAGUCCGGAAGAGGUGAGUGGAAUUCCGAGUGUAGAGGUGAAAUUCGUAGAUAUUCGGAGGAAACACCAGUGGCGAAGGCGGCUCACUGGUCCGGUACUGACGCUGAGGUGCGAAAAGCGUGGGGGAGCAAACAGG
rnacentral:rRNA from 1 species